rnacentral:rRNA from 1 species
GACGAACGCUGGCGGCGUGCCUAAUACGUGCAAGUUGAGCGCUGAAGGUUGGUACUUGUACCAACUGGGUGAGCAGCGAACGGGUGAGUAACGCGUGGGGAAUCUGCCUUUGAGCGGGGGACAACAUUUGGAAACGAAUGCUAAUACCGCAUAAAAACUUUAAACACAAGUUUUAAGUUUGAAAGAUGCAAUUGCAUCACUCAAAGAUGAUCCCGCGUUGUAUUAGCUAGUUGGUGAGGUAAAGGCUCACCAAGGCGAUGAUACAUAGCCGACCUGAGAGGGUGAUCGGCCACAUUGGGACUGAGACACGGCCCAAACUCCUACGGGAGGCAGCAGUAGGGAAUCUUCGGCAAUGGACGAAAGUCUGACCGAGCAACGCCGCGUGAGUGAAGAAGGUUUUCGGAUCGUAAAACUCUGUUGGUAGAGAAGAACGUUGGUGAGAGUGGAAAGCUCAUCAAGUGACGGUAACUACCCAGAAAGGGACGGCUAACUACGUG